GAGUGGAAAGAGUGGAUGCCGGUCCCCAAGCUGGGCGGCCUGCUCAAGGACAUGAAGAUCAAAUCCCUGAAGGGAUCUAUCUCUUCUCCCCGCCCAUCAAGGAAUCUGAGAUCACUGACUUUAUCCUGGGGACAACUCUCAAGGAUGAGGUUUUGAAAAUCAUGCCAGUGCAAAAGCAGACCCGCGCUGGCCAGCCGAUCAGGUUCAUGUGGGGACUGCACAUGGCCAUGUCGAUCUCGAUGUUAAGUGCGCCAAGGAAGUAGCUACUGCCAUCUGAGGGGCCGUCAUCCUGGCCACACUCUAAAGAUCGGCAAGCCCCACACUGUUCCUUGCAACGUGACAGGCCACUGUGACUCCGUGCUGGUACAUCUCAUCCCUGCCCUUGGAGGAACUGGAAUUGUCUCAGCACCUGUGUCUAAGAAGCUGCUAAUGAUGGCUGGCAUCGAUGACUGCUACACCUCAGCCAGGGGCUGCGCUGCUACCCUCGACAACUUUGCCAAAGCCACUUUUGAUGGGGUUUCCAAGACCUAUAGCUGUCUCACUCCUGACCUCUGGAAGGAAACAGUGUUCACCAAGUCUCCUUGCCAGGAAUUCACUGACCAUCUUAUCAAGACCCACACCAGAGUCUCUGUGCAGAGGACCCAGGCUCCAGCUGUGGCUACAACAUAGGAUUUUUAUACAAGCAUAAUAAAGUGAAUUAAG